AGGACUAACGCUGGCGGCGUGCCUAACACAUGCAAGUCGAACGAAGUAGCAAUACUUAGUGGCAGACGGGUGAGUAACACGUAGUCAACCUGCCCUUCAAUGGGGGAUAACUAGCCGAAAGGUUAGCUAAUACCGCAUACGAUCUCUGAGUGGCAUCACUCGGCGAUGAAAGGAGUAAUCCGUUGAAGGAGGGGACUGCGUCCCAUUAGUUAGUUGGUGGGGUAAUGGCCUACCAAGACUCCGAUGGGUAGCUGGCUUGAGAGAGCGACCAGCCACACUGGAACUGAGACACGGUCCAGACUCCUACGGGAGGCAGCAGUGAGGAAUUUUCCGCAAUGGGGGAAACCCUGACGGAGCGACGCCGCGUGUGGGAAGAAGGCCUUCGGGUCGUAAACCACUGUCGAGGGGGACGAGUAUUGACGGUACCCCUGGAGGAAGCCCCGGCUAACUACGUGCCAGCAGCCGC
rnacentral:rRNA from 1 species